AGCAGCCGCGGUAAUUCCAGCUCCAAUAGCGUAUAUUAAAGUUGCUGCAGUUAAAAAGCUCGUAGUUGAAUUUCGGGACUAAUAUGUCGGUCGUGCCUCGGUACGUACUGGUUUAUUGGUUUCUCCUUUCUGAAGAACCAUGAUGUCAUUUACUUGGUGUCAUGGGGAAUCAGGACUGUUACUUUGAAAAAAUUAGAGUGUUUAAAGCAGGCUCACGCUUGAAUACAUUAGCAUGGAAUAAUGAAAUAGGACGUUUGAUUCUAUUUUGUUGGUUUCUAGGAUCGAUGUAAUGAUUAAUAGGGAUAGUUGGGGGCAUUAGUAUUCAAUUGUCAGAGGUGAAAUUCUUGGAUUUAUUGAAGACUAACUACUGCGAAAGCAUUUGCCAAGGAUGUUUUCAUUAAUCAAGAACGAAAGUUAGGGGAUCGAAGACGAUCAGAUACCGUCGUAGUCUUAACCAUAAACUAUGCCGACUAGGGAUCGGAUGAUGUUAAUUUUUUAAUGACUCAUUCGGCGCCUUACG
rnacentral:misc_RNA from 1 species